AUGGACGUAUCUACAUCUCCCACGACACCACUUGGACCAAUGACAAGAGCUCGAGCAAAGGCUAUCGAAGAUAAGGUGAACUCGCUCCUCUCUGAACUCCCACUUUCUACACAUGAGACAUGGCUACUACCUCAAACGGAAACACUAUGUGUGAUCAGGUACUUGGAGGAAGGCCACGGAGCAGCUACAUCCAAUGGUCAAGACGGCGAGGACACCGAGUACGAAGGACAAGAAGAAGAGCUACCGAAGAAGCUCCAGCGAGCGGACGUCAGCCCAGGACCGGACGUCCGGCGCCUGACGCUCCAGCCAGCGGACGUCCGACCAGGACCGGACGAAGGCCCAGCCGACCCAAGUCCCAGCCGAUGA
rnacentral:rRNA from 1 species